rnacentral:lncRNA from 1 species
AGAAGAAUGGAGCUGUGGGAGUCAAACAGGGGUCUGUUAUGAUUUCCAGGGCUGAGGGGCCCAGGAAGGGCUUCUUCCAGGGGCUACGCAGAGAAUCAGAGCUCCUCUUAUAGAACACAGAUGCUCCAUUGGAAGGAAGCAGUUCCGAUCAAAAGUUGGGCAGCAUCCAGGGUCAUGAACUUAGAUCCUAAAAUAUCUGUGACCAGACCAGCCGGCAAGGAUUUCCUGCCGACCCAGAAGCUGAAAGGAUUCUAUGUUGGCACACACAGAACCACACUGCUGCUCACACCGCACGUGUCUAGCAGAGCUUCCAGGCUUUCAAACAGACAAAAUAACAGCAAAGACAUCAGAAUUAUGGCUGAAGGCGAAUCUGAGAAGAGUCGGGGCUCAGGCUGGAGAUGCAAUAGCCAGGAUUGCAAGAUAAACAACAACUUGAGAUUAUCGGUAAUAACACGGCUGGCCUAGUGAGCCCAGACAGGCAUCAGGUGGGUGAUCAGAACGUGGAGACCCAUAUCCCCUCCCUUCCCCAAAAUGCCUUUGUUCUGUCCUGUACCCUGGCUACAUGACUUGUUUCCCUAUUGGAUCAAUAUUAGCUAAGCAGCUAUGCUUGUAACCCUAUAGGUUGAUUGUCUCCCAUGUUGUACCCACACUGUGAUAUUGCUGUGUAAAUUGCCCCUGACAAAGGGUCUGGGCGGCUACUUAUUC